rnacentral:rRNA from 1 species
UUCCAGCUCCACUAGUGUAAAUCGUCAUUGCUGCGGUUAAAAAGCUCGUAGUUGGAUCUGAGUUACAUGCAGUGAUUCGCCUUUGGCGUUAAUCGCUGUUGUAACUAUUUGCUGGUUUUCUAUUGAGGUUUCGGCUUCUUUAGUGGCUAGCGAGUUUACUUUGAAUAAAUUAGAGUGCUCAGAACAAGCGUUUGCUUGAAUGGUCGAUCAUGGAAUAAUAAAAGAGGACUUCGGUUCUAUUUAUUGGUUCAGGAACUGAAAUAAUGGUUAAGAGGGACAAUUCGGGGGCAUUCGUAUCCCUGCGCGAGAGGUGAAAUUCGUGGACCGCAGGGGGACGCCCUAAAGCGAAAGCAUUUGCCAAGAAUGUCUUCAUUAAUCAAGAACGAAAGUCAGAGGUUCGAAGGCGAUUAGAUACCGCCCUAGUUCUGACCGUAAACUAUGCCAUCUAGCGAUCCGAUGGGGUAUAGUUGCCUUGUCGAGGAGCUUCCCGGAAACGAAAGUCUUUCGGUUCCUGGGGUAGUAUGGUUGCAAAGCUGAAACUUAAAGAAAUUGACGGAAUGGCACCACCAGGAGUGGAGCCUGCGGCUUAAUUUGACUCAACACGGGAAAACUCACCCGGCCCGGACACCGUAAGGAUUGACAGAUUGAAAGCUCUUUCUCGAUUUGGUGGUUGGUGGUGCAUGGCCGUUCUUAGUUGGUGGAGCGAUUUGUCUGGUUUAUUCCGAUAACGAGCGAGACUCUAGCCUGCUAAAUAGUGGCUGGAUUUUUGAGUCCAGUCUACUUCUUAGAGGGAUAAGCGGUGUUUAGCCGCACGAGAUUGAGCGAUAACAGGUCUGUGAUGCCCUUAGAUGUCCGGGGCUGCACGCGCGCUACAAUGGAAGAAUCAGCUGGCCUAUCCAUUGCCGAAAGGCAUUGGUAAACCGUUGAAACUCUUCCGUGACCGGGAUAGGGAAUUGUAAUUAUUUCCCUUGAACGAGGAAUUCCUAGUAAGUGUGAGUCAUCAGCUCACGCUGAUUAC